rnacentral:rRNA from 1 species
UACGUAGGGAGCAAGCGUUGUCCGGAAUCAUUGGGCGUAAAGCGCGCGUAGGUGGCCUCAUAAGUCCGCUGUGAAAGUCAAAGGCUCAACCUUUGAAAGCCGGUGGAUACUGUGAGGCUAGAGUACGGAAGAGGCGAGUGGAAUUCCUGGUGUAGCGGUGGAAUGCGCAGAUAUCAGGAGGAACACCAAUAGCGAAGGCAGCUCGCUGGGACGUUACUGACACUGAGGCGCGAAAGCUAGGGGAGCAAACGGG